GAACGCUGGCGGCGUGCCUAAUACAUGCAAGUCGAACGGUCUUUCUAUGGAAGCUUGCUUCCACUGAGAAGAUAGUGGCGAACGGGUGAGUAACACGUGGGUAACCUGCCCAUAAGAGGGGGAUAACAUCCGGAAACGGGUGCUAAUACCGCAUAGUUUUCUUGAUCGCAUGAUCGGGAAAGGAAAGACGGCCUUUGUGCUGUCGCUUAUGGAUGGACCCGCGGCGUAUUAGUUAGUUGGUGAGGUAAUGGCUCACCAAGACGAUGAUACGUAGCCGACCUGAGAGGGUGAUCGGCCACAUUGGGACUGAGACACGGCCCAAACUCCUACGGGAGGCAGCAGUAGGGAAUCUUCCGCAAUGGACGAAAGUCUGACGGAGCAACGCCGCGUGAGUGAAGAAAAGGGUUUUCGGAUCGUAAAACUCUGUUGUCAGAGAAGAACAAGUUGGAGAGUAACUGCUCCAGCCUUGACGGUAUCUGACCAGAAAGCCACGGCUAACUACGUGCCAGCAGCCGC
rnacentral:rRNA from 1 species